UACGUAGGGUGCGAGCGUUAAUCGGAUUGACUGGGCGUAAAGCGUGCGCAGGCGGCCCGUUAAGACAGGUGUGAAAUCCCUGGGCUCAACCUAGGAAUUGCGCUUGUGACUGGCGGGCUCGAGUACGGUAGAGGGGGGUGGAAUUCCUGGUGUAGCAGUGAAAUGCGUAGAGAUCAGGAGGAACACCGAUGGCGAAGGCAGCCCCCUGGGCCUGUACUGACGCUCAUGCACGAAAGCGUGGGGAGCAAACAGG
rnacentral:rRNA from 1 species